rnacentral:tRNA from 1 species
GCAAAACACCAAAGUGCAAAUUUGGGAAGCAAGCACUAAAAAGGUGCUCGGGGCUUCUCCCGUUUAAGUAGAGACGGGAGAAGG